UACGGAGGGUGCAAGCGUUAUCCGGAUUCACUGGGUUUAAAGGGCGCGUAGGCGGGCAUUUAAGUCAGUGGUGAAAUACCUGAGCUUAACUUGGGAACUGCCAUUGAUACUAUUUGUCUUGAAUGUCGUGGAGGUUAGCGGAAUAUGUCAUGUAGCGGUGAAAUGCUUAGAUAUGACAUAGAACACCUAUUGUGAAGGCAGCUAACUACGCGAAUAUUGACGCUGAGGCACGAAAGCGUGGGGAUCAAACAGG
rnacentral:rRNA from 1 species